ACGGCCGUACCAUGCUGAAUAUACCGGUUCCCGUUAGAUCACCGAAGUCAAGCAUCAUUGGGCGCGGUCAGUACUUGGGAGGGUGACCACCUGGGAACACCGCGUGCCGUU